rnacentral:rRNA from 1 species
GUACAAUAAGUUAAGUAAGGGCGUACGGAGGAUGCCUAGGCUCUCAGAGGCGAAGAAGGACGUGAUAAGCUGCGAUAAGCUGCGGGUAUUGGC